UGGCGGCAUGCNUAACACAUGCAAGUCGAACGAGACCUUCGGGUCUAGUGGCGCACGGGUGCGUAACGCGUGGGAAUCUGCCCUUUGCUACGGAAUAACUCAGAGAAAUUUGUGCUAAUACCGUAUAAUGUCGUAAGACCAAAGAUUUAUCGGCAAAGGAUGAGCCCGCGUAAGAUUAGCUUGUUGGUGAGGUAAAGGCUCACCAAGACGACGAUCUUUAGCUGGUCUGAGAGGAUGAUCAGCCACACUGGGACUGAGACACGGCCCAGACUCCUACGGGAGGCAGCAGUGGGGAAUAUUGGACAAUGGGCGAAAGCCUGAUCCAGCAAUGCCGCGUGAGUGAUGAAGGCCUUAGGGUUGUAAAGCUC
rnacentral:rRNA from 1 species